GUUGUAAUUUGUAGAGGAUGUUUCGGGUAAGAUCUAGGCCUAAGUUCCUUGGAACAGGACGUCAUAGAGGGUGAGAAUCCCGUACGUGGCUCAUGAUCGCACCCAUGUGAAACUCCUUCGAC
rnacentral:rRNA from 1 species